GGUCAAGUGAAGAAGCGCAUACGGUGGAUGCCUUGGCAGUCAGAGGCGAUGAAAGACGUGGUAGCCUGCGAAAAGCUUCGGGGAGUCGGCAAACAGACUUUGAUCCGGAGAUCUCUGAAUGGGGGAACCCACCUAGGAUAACCUAGGUAUCUUGUACUGAAUCCAUAGGUGCAAGAGGCGAACCAGGGGAACUGAAACAUCUAAGUACCCUGAGGAAAAGAAAUCAACCGAGAUUCCCUUAGUAGUGGCGAGCGAACGGGGAUUAGCCCUUAAGCUUCAUUGAUUUUAGCGGAACGCUCUGGAAAGUGCGGCCAUAGUGGGUGAUAGCCCCGUACGCGAAAGGAUCUUUGAAGUGAAAUCGAGUAGGACGGAGCACGAGAAACUUUGUCUGAACAUGGGGGGACCAUCCUCCAAGGCUAAAUACUACUGACUGACCGAUAGUGAACCAGUACCGUGAGGGAAAGGCGAAAAGAACCCCGGAGAGGGGAGUGAAAUAGAACCUGAAACCGUAUGCGUACAAGCAGUGGGAGCCUACUUGUUAGGUGACUGCGUACCUUUUGUAUAAUGGGUCAGCGACUUAUAUUCAGUGGCAAGCUUAACCGUAUAGGGUAGGCGUAGCGAAAGCGAGUCUUAAUAGGGCGUUUAGUCGCUGGGUAUAGACCCGAAACCGGGCGAUCUAUCCAUGAGCAGGUUGAAGGUUAGGUAACACUGACUGGAGGACCGAACCCACUCCCGUUGAAAAGGUAGGGGAUGACUUGUGGAUCGGAGUGAAAGGCUAAUCAAGCUCGGAGAUAGCUGGUUCUCCUCGAAAGCUAUUUAGGUAGCGCCUCAUGUAUCACUCUGGGGGGUAGAGCACUGUUUCGGCUAGGGGGUCAUCCCGACUUACCAAACCGAUGCAAACUCCGAAUACCCAGAAGUGCCGAGCAUGGGAGACACACGGCGGGUGCUAACGUCCGUCGUGAAAAGGGAAACAACCCAGACCGCCAGCUAAGGUCCCAAAGUUGUGGUUAAGUGGUAAACGAUGUGGGAAGGCUUAGACAGCUAGGAGGUUGGCUUAGAAGCAGCCACCCUUUAAAGAAAGCGUAAUAGCUCACUAGUCGAGUCGGCCUGCGCGGAAGAUGUAACGGGGCUCAAACCACACACCGAAGCUGCGGGUGUCACGUAAGUGACGCGGUAGAGGAGCGUUCUGUAAGCCUGUGAAGGUGAGUUGAGAAGCUUGCUGGAGGUAUCAGAAGUGCGAAUGCUGACAUGAGUAACGACAAUGGGUGUGAAAAACACCCACGCCGAAAGACCAAGGGUUCCUGCGCAACGUUAAUCGACGCAGGGUUAGUCGGUUCCUAAGGCGAGGCUGAAAAGCGUAGUCGAUGGGAAACAGGUUAAUAUUCCUGUACUUCUGGUUACUGCGAUGGAGGGACGGAGAAGGCUAGGCCAGCUUGGCGUUGGUUGUCCAAGUUUAAGGUGGUAGGCUGAAAUCUUAGGUAAAUCCGGGGUUUCAAGGCCGAGAGCUGAUGACGAGUCGUCUUUUAGAUGACGAAGUGGUUGAUGCCAUGCUUCCAAGAAAAGCUUCUAAGCUUCAGGUAACCAGGAACCGUACCCCAAACCGACACAGGUGGUCGGGUAGAGAAUACCAAGGCGCUUGAGAGAACUCGGGUGAAGGAACUAGGCAAAAUGGCACCGUAACUUCGGGAGAAGGUGCGCCGGCUAGGGUGAAGGAUUUACUCCGUAAGCUCUGGCUGGUCGAAGAUACCAGGCCGCUGCGACUGUUUAUUAAAAACACAGCACUCUGCAAACACGAAAGUGGACGUAUAGGGUGUGACGCCUGCCCGGUGCCGGAAGGUUAAUUGAUGGGGUUAGCGCAAGCGAAGCUCUUGAUCGAAGCCCCGGUAAACGGCGGCCGUAACUAUAACGGUCCUAAGGUAGCGAAAUUCCUUGUCGGGUAAGUUCCGACCUGCACGAAUGGCGUAACGAUGGCGGCGCUGUCUCCACCCGAGACUCAGUGAAAUUGAAAUCGCUGUGAAGAUGCAGUGUAUCCGCGGCUAGACGGAAAGACCCCGUGAACCUUUACUGUAGCUUUGCACUGGACUUUGAGCCUGCUUGUGUAGGAUAGGUGGGAGGCUUUGAAGCGUGGACGCCAGUUCGCGUGGAGCCAUCCUUGAAAUACCACCCUGGCAUGCUUGAGGUUCUAACUCUGGUCCGUAAUCCGGAUCGAGGACAGUGUAUGGUGGGCAGUUUGACUGGGGCGGUCUCCUCCUAAAGAGUAACGGAGGAGUACGAAGG
rnacentral:rRNA from 1 species